AUGCUCACUGUACUUCCAAGUGCCAGGCAGCAUCUUCCAAGAAAUAGCCAGCUGCUGGGGCCUGGACUUGUCUGUGACCAUGUGGCCCCCAACAGGGCCUGCUCCUCACACCUCCUGGCCUGGGCUGCCCUGGCCUAGCAGAAACCACGAGGACCUUGAUGUAGCUGUGACGUGUGGUCACCCCUUACCGACAGGAUCUGGGCAUUUCCCCAGGGAGCACUCAGCGGAAGCCUUCAGAGUCCACCCAGCCUCUGGGUCAAAGCCCUCAGCCCCUCAUUGGACUUCCAGGGUCUCAGACAACCUGUCUCUCCACUGCCCUGGCAAAGGCAAAAGAUGGAACCAGGCUCAAGUCUGAUCAGGACAUAGACAAGGUCACCUGCCCAUCAUUGGAGCGCCUCCUUCCUUUGGUGAACAUAGGCCACCAUGAGCCUUGCCUCAGGUUAAUGUAGCUCCCAUGGAGGCAGCAGAGUGCAAUUGAUGCUCCCAUUCUCUCUCCUCACUCUCCCUCUGAGGUCCCAAGGGGAUCACGCCUGUAUAGGUCCCCUUACCCCUCAGCAUGUGGCAUUACCCCUUUUCCUCCCUAGGCACAGACUGAUCCUAGCUGGUUCGAAUCUGACCUGUCUCCGUCGCAGCCCCCUUCCCUGUCCUGAGAGUCCCUGGACCUUGUUUCAGGUGACACAUAGUUCCUCUUGUCCUUCAGUGGCAUUUUUCAGUUGGGUGGGUGAGAUGUCACCUGUCUGACCCUCCAUACUCCUAGGUCUGGGUUCCUCCACCCUUUCUGUUGGUCCCACCUUGCUUGCUCACUCCCCCAAGAGAUGACAUAUUGCUGGGAAUGUGAUGGAGGGCACAGAGUAACCUGUUCUCCCACCGUUCUGGAAGCCAACAGCAGAGGUCAGGGUGCUUGGGCCCCAUUUUCUUCUGGCUUCAGGGGCCCCAGAUCUCCUGGACACUGUGUCCUGUCUUCAUGUGGCUUUCUCUUACCCCAUCUGUCUCUUGCCCUGAAUACAAGACCCACCCUAAAUCUAGGAUGACCACAUUGAAAGAGCCUUUGUUACAUCUCUAAAGACCCGUUUUCUAAAUGGGGACACAGACCCCAGGAUUAGGAUAUGGGGUUUUCUUUUGAAGGCCCUCUAUUCAGUUUGCUGCCUUCUGCCAUUCUAAGAAGAUGCAAGACCCCUGCUAUGCUCUUCGGCUCUUUGGCAGCCUACUCAUUGCUUCUGGGGUUGGGCUAACCACUAUAGCUCUAGAAGGAUUGUGGGUGCAGCAGUCACUGUCAUGGCUGUCCAGUUCCUGAUGGAGCUGCAGAAUAAGGAGGUCUCCUAAGGAUAUAUGAGGGGCAUAAUAAAUAUGGACCUUCAAACUGGGCCAGUGAUCAUUAACAAUAGAGAAAGCUGUGCUUGGUGGCACACACCUGAAAUUCCAGCACUCAGAGCCUGAGGCAGCAAUGAGCCUGAGUCCCAUUGUGAGUUCCUGGACAGCCUGCUGAACUACAGGGAGAGACCCUGACUUUAAAAAAAAAAAAAAAAAA